rnacentral:rRNA from 1 species
UACGGAGGAUGCAAGCGUUAUCCGGAAUUAUUGGGCGUAAAGAGCGCGCAGGUGGUUGAUUAAGUCUGAUGUGAAAGCCCACGGCUUAACCGUGGAGGGUCAUUGGAAACUGGUCGACUUGAGUGCAGAAGAGGGAAGUGGAAUUCCAUGUGUAGCGGUGAAAUGCGUAGAGAUAUGGAGGAACACCAGUGGCGAAGGCGGCUUCCUGGUCUGUAACUGACACUGAGGCGCGAAAGCGUGGGGAGCAAACAGGAUUAGAUA